rnacentral:rRNA from 1 species
GAGAAGAAACUAACAAGGAUUCCCCCAGUAACGGCGAGCGAAGCGGGAAAUUGCUCAAAUUUGAAAUCUCCGGUGCCUGCACCGGCGAAUUGUAGUCUGGAGGCGCGGUUUCGCCCUAGGCGGUGUCCUCAAAGUCGUCCUGGAAAGGCGGGCCGAAGAGGGUGAGAGCCCCGUGCGCGGGGGCACCGCCGAAGGCAAGAUCCGACGCCGAAGAGUCGGGCUGUUUGGGAUUGCAGUCCAAAAAGGGUGGUAAACUCCAUCUAAAGCUAAAUACCGGCACGAGACCGAUAGCGAACAAGUACCGUGAGGGAAAGAUGAAAAGCACUUUGAAAAGAGAGUCAAAUAGUACGUGAAACCGUCGGGAGGGAAACGAACGAGGUCGGUGCGGCGACCGCGCAGGCUCAGUCAUCCGCGGAGGGGAGCGACGAACGGACCGAGACGGUCCCCCGCCGUGCAACCGAAGCGGGGACGUAUUUCUCGCGGUCGCGGACCAACGGCGGUUGGAUCCGGGGCAAAAGGAGCGGCGGAAGGUAAGCAGGCGGGGCCUCGGCCCCGCAGGCUACUUACAGACCCGCUAUCCGGCGCUCGGGUCCGACCGAGGAAUGGGCAGCCCUUGCCCGCUGGGUGCACGCCGUACGGCGGGGCCCACCCCCGGAGGCGAACCGGCAGUCCGGGACUGCACGCAGUGUCGGUCUAGCCGGGGAGUCUGCCGGGGAGUGGCGUCACUCGUGCGCCAGUGCCGCUGGUAUUCGGACGGCCUCGUCCGACCCGUCUUGAAACACGGACCAAGGAGUGCAACAUGUGCGCGAGCCCUUUGGCGAGUAAACCAGAAGGCGCAAUGAAAGUGAAGGCGCGGUCGCCGCGCUGAGGUGAGAGCCCAGUCCGGGCGCAUCAUCGACCGACUCCAUCCGAGCCCUCCGGUGCGGCGGAGUUCGAGUAAGAGCGUACCUGUUGCGACCCGAAAGAUGGUGAACUAUGCCUGAAUAGGGUGAAGCCAGAGGAAACUCUGGUGGAGGCCCGCAGCGAUUCUGACGUGCAAAUCGAUCGUCGAAUUUGGGUAUAGGGCGAAAGACUAAUCGAACC